rnacentral:piRNA from 1 species
UCCAACGGAACAAGGUGCCCCAUUGGACA